GUGCCAGCAGCCGCGGUAAUACGGAGGAUGCAAGCGUUAUCCGGAUUUAUUGGGUUUAAAGGGUGCGUAGGCUGUGGGGAAAGUCAGGGGUGAAAGCCCGGCGCUUAACGCCGGAACUGCCUUUGAUACUUCUCCGCUGGAAUACGGAUGCCGUGGGAGGAAUGAGUAGUGUAGCGGUGAAAUGCAUAGAUAUUACUCAGAACACCGAUUGCGAAGGCAUCUCACGAAUCCGUCAUUGACGCUGAGGCACGAAAGCGUGGGGAUCAAACAGGAUUAGAUACCCUGGUAGUCCACGCAGUAAACGAUGAUAACUAACCGUCGGCGAUACACAGUCGGUGGCCAAGCGAAAGCGAUAAGUUAUCCACCUGGGGAGUACGUUCGCAAGAAUGAAACUCAAAGGAAUUGACGGGGGCCCGCACAAGCGGAGAAACAUGUGGUUUAAUUCGAUGAUACGCGAGGAACCUUACCCGGGCUCGAACGGCAAGUGAAGGAUCAAGAGAUUGUGACGCCCUUCGGGGCACUUGUCGAGGUGCUGCAUGGUUGUCGUCAGCUCGUGUCGUGAGAUGUUGGCUUAAGUGCCAUAACGAGCGCAACCCUUGUCGCCAGUUACCAGCAAGUCAAGUUGGGGACUCUGGCGAGACUGCCACCGCAAGGUGUGAGGAAGGCGGGGAUGACGUCAAAUCAGCACGGCCCUUACGUCCGGGGCGACACACGUGUUACAAUGGCGACUACAGAGGGAAGCCACCUGGUGACAGGGAGCAGAUCUCGAAAAGUCGUCUCAGUUCGGAUUGGAGUCUGCAACUCGACUCCAUGAAGCUGGAUUCGCUAGUAAUCGCGCAUCAGCCAUGGCGCGGUGAAUACGUUCCCGGGCCUUGUACACACCGCCCGU
rnacentral:rRNA from 1 species